rnacentral:rRNA from 1 species
UGCCGCAAAGAUGGGGACAACAGUCCGAAAGGACUGCUAAUACCGAAUGUUGUAUACUCCUCCCGCAUGGAAGAGAUAUUAAAGAUGGCCUCUACUUGUAAGCUAUCGCUUUGCGAUGGGUCUGCGUCUGAUUAGCUAGUUGUGGGGCAACGGCCUACCAAGGCGACGAUCAGUAGCCGGUCUGAGAGGAUGAACGGCCACAUUGGAACUGAGACACCGGUCCAGACUCCUACGGGAGGCAGCAGUGGGGAAUCUUCCGCAAUGGGCGAAAGCCUGACGGAGCAACGCCGCGUGAGUGAAGAAGGUCUUCGGAUCGUAAAGCUCUGUUGUCGGGGACGAAUGUUGAGGCCUAGAAUAUAGGUUUCAAAUGACGGUACCUGACGAGGAAGCCACGGCUAACUACGUG